rnacentral:tRNA from 1 species
GGGAGUGACGUCAUCGGCAAGCCACAAAUUUGCGCCGACAACUGCUGACUUUUAAUCAGCGGGUGCCAGGUUCGAGCCCUGGUGCGCCCACCA